rnacentral:lncRNA from 1 species
UUAUCAGAAUAGAGAGGCUUACCAAUAGUACUCGCUAAUUUACUGAGUAUUUCAGGGGACCAGUAGCCCAAUGGCAAUCCAGGGAAUCCCACCCAAAUAGGAAUAGUACUAAGAAUACCAUUUUGCAUGGAGAAAUCCACAUCCUAGGGUUUCAAAAUCAUAGGCUUAUUCCUAUAAGAGUAAGGGCCAUAUUAUAGCACUUGAUUCUUGUCCUCAACAGUACAAAAUCGAAACACACAAUAACCAUCUCUAUGCAUUAGAAUCUGUGGUUUAGCCACAAAUUCCAUACAUGCAAAACAAAGUUCUUCAUGGCUUUCUCAUUAGGGUUGUCACCAAUGAUAUAUCCAAUAAGUGAAGUAUUCCAGUACUCAGACUGAGGUUUCAGCUCAUCGAUAUUGAUUUUAACUAUCUUCUUUCCAUCCUUAUCAAUAGGUGGAACAAAUGUUAAAACCUUACCCAUAUUGUGCUUACCUCUGACAAUCUCAGCCAUAGUAGGAGGUGACUGUUCAUCUAUGG